AGUGAGCGCUGGCGGUAGGCCUAACACAUGCAAGUCGAACGGCAGCACAGUAAGUGCUUGCUCUUACGGGUGGCGAGUGGCGGACGUGUGAGGAAUACAUCGUAAUCUACUUUUUCGUGGGGGAUAACGUAGGUAAACUUACGCUAAUACCGCAUACGACCUACGGGUGAAAGCAGUGGAUCUUCGGACCUUGCGCGGUUGAAUGAGCCGAUGUCGGAUUAGCUAGUUGGCGGGGUAAAUGCCCACCAAUGCGACGAUCCGUAGCUGGUCUGAGAGGAGGGUAAGCCACACUGGAGCUGAACCACGGUCCAGACUCCUACGGGAGGCAGCAGUGGCGAAUAUUGGACAAUGGGCGGAAGCCUGAUCCAGCCAUACCGAGUGGGUGAAGAAGGCCUUCGGGUUGUAAAGCCCUUUUGUUGGGAAAGAAAAGCAGCAGGUUAAUACCCCGCUGUUCUGACGGUACCCAAAGAAUAAGCACCGGCUAACUUCGUG
rnacentral:rRNA from 1 species